GUUUGAUUGUGAUCCCGAAAAAACAAUCGGAGUGGUUCUAGUCGGUGAGCCUGGGAAAACCGACCGAGUUCGUUGUAACCUCGUAAAACAACAAGUUGGGUUGUGAGCUUGUAAAACAACCGGCUGUAAUUGGUAGGAUUAUAGUGAAAUUCCCAAGAAGUCUUGGGGAGUGGAUGUAGGUGCUGGGGUGCACCGAACCACUAUAUGUUUGCUGUGUUUGUAAUGCUUUUUGUCAUUAUCUAACUCACACACUUACUCAUUUAGAUAAAUUGCUUGCUUAACUAUUAUCCGCGAAUUCUUUAGUUGCAAGCAUACUCAAUCAAGUCACAUUCUAUACAUCAAACUGUCGCUAAGUUUAACUUUCACUGCGCAUAUAUACAACUUAGCAUAAUUAAUCAAAAAGUACUAGAAGUAGCUUAAAAGUUUUAAAAGACCCAAUUCACCCCCCCCCC
rnacentral:lncRNA from 1 species